GUGUCAGCCGCCGCGGUAAGACAGAGGCCACAAGCGUUAGGCGGAAUCACUGGGCUUAAAGCGUGUGUAGGCGGAUCGUUAAGUGCCUUGUGAAAUCCCACGGCUCACCCGUGGAACGGCUGGGCAUACUGGCGAUCUUGAGCCAUCUAGGGGCGACUGGAACAAACGGUGGAGCGGUGAAAUGCGUAGAUAUCGUUUGGAACGCCAACGGUGAAAACAGGUCGCUGGGGAUGUGCUGACGCUGAGACACGAAAGCCAGGGGAGCAAACGGGAUUAGAAACCCUCGUAGUCC
rnacentral:rRNA from 1 species